rnacentral:rRNA from 1 species
GGCCAAGUUUUUAAGGGCGCACGGUGGAUGCCUUGGCACCAGGAACCGAUGAAGGACGUGGGAGGCCACGAUAGGCCCCGGGGAGCUGUCAACCGAGCUUUGAUCCGGGGGUGUCCGAAUGGGGAAACCCGGCAGUCGUCAUGGGCUGUCACCCGCUGCUGAACACAUAGGCAGUGUGGAGGGAACGCGGGGAAGUGAAACAUCUCAGUACCCGCAGGAAGAGAAAACAACCGUGAUUCCGGGAGUAGUGGCGAGCGAAACCGGAUGAGGCCAAACCGUAUGUGUGUGAUACCCGGCAGGGGUUGCGCAUGCGGGGUUGUGGGAUCUCUUUUUCAUAGUCUGCCGGCUGUGAGACGAGUCAGAAACCGUUGAUGUAGGCGAAGGACAUGCGAAAGGUCCGGCGUAGAGGGUAAGACCCCCGUAGCUGAAACAUUGACGGCUCGUUUAAGAGACACCCAAGUAGCACGGGGCCCGAGAAAUCCCGUGUGAAUCUGGCGGGACCACCCGCUAAGCCUAAAUAUUCCCUGGUGACCGAUAGCGGAUAGUACCGUGAGGGAAUGGUGAAAAGUACCGCGGGAGCGGAGUGAAAUAGUACCUGAAACCGUGUGCCUACAAGCCGUGGGAGCGUCGCGCAUCGAGCUUUGCUCGGUGCGUCGUGACUGCGUGCCUUUUGAAGAAUGAGCCUGCGAGUUUGCGGUGUGUUGCGAGGUUAACCCGUGUGGGGAAGCCGUAGCGAAAGCGAGUCCGAAUAGGGCGAUUGAGUAGCGCGCCCAAGACCCGAAGCGGAGUGAUCUAGCCAUGGGCAGGUUGAAGCGGAGGUAAGACUUCGUGGAGGACCGAACCCACCAGGGUUGAAAACCUGGGGGAUGACCUGUGGUUAGGGGUGAAAGGCCAAUCAAACUCCGUGAUAGCUGGUUCUCCCCGAAAUGCAUUUAGGUGCAGCGUCGUGUGUUUCUUGCCGGAGGUAGAGCACUGGAUAGGCGAUGGGCCCUACCGGGUUACUGACCUUAGCCAAACUCCGAAUGCCGGUAAGUGAGAGCGCGGCAGUGAGACUGUGGGGGAUAAGCUCCAUGGUCGAGAGGGAAACAGCCCAGAGCAUCGACUAAGGCCCCUAAGCGUACGCUAAGUGGGAAAGGAUGUGGAGUCGCAGAGACAACCAGGAGGUUGGCUUAGAAGCAGCCACCCUUGAAAGAGUGCGUAAUAGCUCACUGGUCAAGUGAUUCCGCGCCGACAAUGUAGCGGGGCUCAAGCGUACCGCCGAAGUCGUGUCAUUC